GAUGAAGAACGCAGCGAACUGCGAUAAGUAAUGUGAAUUGCAGAAUUCAGUGAAUCAUCGAGUCUUUGAACGCGCAUUGCGCCCCCUGGCAUUCCGGGGGGCAUGCCUGUCCGAGCGUCAUUGCUGCCCUUCAAGCCCGGCUUGUGUGUUGGGUCGUCGUCCCCCCCGGGGGACGGGCCCGAAAGGCAGCGGCGGCACCGCGUCCGGUCCUCGAGCGUAUGGGGCUUUGUCACCCGCUCGACUAGGGCCGGCCGGGCGCCAGCCGGCGUCUCCAACCUUCUAUUUUACCAGGUUGACCUCGGAUCAGGUAGGGAUACCCGCUGAACUUAAGCAUAUCAAUAAGCGGAGGA
rnacentral:misc_RNA from 1 species